ACAGCUUUGUAGGAAUGCUGAUGC
rnacentral:piRNA from 1 species